rnacentral:lncRNA from 1 species
AGUAAUAGAAUUGGACAUGACAAUCAUAACAGAAAGAGAGAUCAUUUAAGGGAACUAAUGAACCAAGGAAUCAGUGGGAAGGAACAAAAGAAGAAAGGAAAAGGAAUCCACUGAGAGGUAGUAAAGUCUCGACAAUGGCAAGCAACAAAGCUGUAAUGUGAAAGCAAUAGCAUGUGAAUGAGGCCAAUAUAAAUGAACCGUAAGAAAUCAUAUUGAUUAGAACAUUUAGUAAUAGAAUUGGACAUGACAAUCAUAACAGAAAGAGAGAUCAUUUAAGGGAACUAAUGAACCAAGGAAUCAGUGGGAAGGAACAAAAGAAGAAAGGAAAAGGAAUCCACUGAGAGGUAGUAAAGUCUCGACAAUGGCAAGCAACAAAGCUGUAAUGUGAAAGCAAUAGCAUGUGAAUGAGCAAGAAACACCUGAGAGACUCAUACAGCAUCAGGCAAUGAGAGCAGGUACAAAAACUUCAAUCAAGCCUAAAUUUGGAGAGCAA